AAAAUAAAAGUUUGUUUACAUAAUAUGUGUGUACUGUGUAUAUUUAUAUGUAUAUAUAAAUACACACAUAUGCAUGUACAUAUUUUAAAAAUAUAUAUAUUUACACACACACACACACACACACACACACAUAAAUAUAUACAGGUGCUGGUCAUAUAAUUAGAAUAUCAUCAAAAAGUUGAUUUAUUUCAUUAAUUCCAUUCAAAAAGUGAAACUUUUAUAUAUUUAUAUAUUUGUAUAUUAUAUUCAUUCAUUACACACAGACUGAUAUAUUUCAAAUGUUUAUUUCUUUUAAUUUUGAUGAUUAUAACUGACAACUAAGGAAAAUUCCAAAUUCAGUAUCUCAGAAAAUUGGAAUAUUGUGAAAAGGUUCAAUAUUGAAGACACCUGGUGCCACACUCUAAUCAGCUAAUUAACUCAAAACACCUGCAAAGGCCUUUAAAUCAGGGCCGGCGCUCCGCACACGCACAUCACGCACUGCGCGUAGGGCACCAAGUGCUUGGGGGGGGCACCAAAAAAUCUGGGUCGUGAAAAAAAUCAUCACAAUAGGCUACUAGUAUAAAUAACAAAUAAAAUAUUUCUAAAAGCAUGUUAAUAUACAAAAGCAAUACAAAAGUAAUAUAGGCCUAGACCAAAUUAGUCGAGAAAAAGGUGAAUCUCUGUGCCAGUCUCCCUCUGGUGCCCCCCCUUCCCCACCUCCCAGUGGUCUGUUCGAUUAUGCCUCAAUCAAUGUCAAAUUUGGCAGACACCGACCUCAGACAUGGCCUCGAAAAGGCACCAAGAGUCGGGGGCGGAAAAAAGAAAAAAGAAGAGACAGCGGGAUGUUAGUUUUGUAGCCCUUGCGUGUAGUAUGCAUGUCCAGGGGCGUCGGCGCGUCCGCGUCGCUAGUAGUGCAAAAGAUCCGGGGCUUUUAGCCCUGCAUGUUGAGUCUUUUAUUUUAACGGGGUCCGGGGAAAUUGUGAAACUUGGGCUGUUAAAGAUGCAGUUUGUUUGAGAAGGAAAGGAAGGCCAAUCGUUGGGGUCCUCAUCGUCAUAUUUGAAUGACAAAUAAAGCUAAUUUUCCCCGUACGUUACA
ensembl:lncRNA